GACAGAGGUGCCGAGCGUUAGGCGGAAUCACUGGGCUUAAAGCGUGUGUAGGCGGCCCGUUAAGUGUCUUGUGAAAUCCCCCGGCUCAACCGGGGAACUGCUGGGCAUACUGGCGGGCUUGGGUCGCUCAGGGGCAGACGGAACAGGCGGUGGAGCGGUGAAAUGCGUAGAUAUCGCCUGGAACGCCGAAGGUGAAAACAGUCUGCUGUGGGCGCACCGACGCUGAGACACGAAAGCCAGGGGAGCGAACGGG
rnacentral:rRNA from 1 species